GACGAACGCUGGCGGCGUGCUUAACACAUGCAAGUCGAACGAUGAAACCGGAGCUUGCUCCGGUGGAUUAGUGGCGAACGGGUGAGUAACACGUGAGUAACCUGCCCUUGACUCUGGGAUAACUGCGGGAAACUGUAGCUAAUACCGGAUACGACCCUCGGCGGCAUCGCCAGGGGGUGGAAAGAAUUUCGGUCAAGGAUGGACUCGCGGCCUAUCAGCUAGUUGGUGAGGUAACGGCUCACCAAGGCGACGACGGGUAGCCGGCCUGAGAGGGUGACCGGCCACACUGGGACAGAGACACGGCCCAGACUCCUACGGGAGGCAGCAGUGGGGAAUAUUGCACAACGGGCGCAAGCCUGAUGCAGCAACGCCGCGUGAGGGAUGACGGCCUUCGGGUUGUAAACCUCUUUUAGUAGGGAAGAAGCGAAAGUGACGGUACCUGCAGAAAAAGCACCGGCUAACUACGUGCCAGCCGCCGCAGUAA
rnacentral:rRNA from 1 species